rnacentral:lncRNA from 1 species
UGAACCCAGUCAGAAUGGUUGUGUAAUUUUCUUCCCUUUCAUUCAGCAGCUGGUAUGUAGGAAUGAAGGAUGUGAUCCAAGGCUGAAACAUAGCUAGAUAAUUUAGUGAUAGAAAGGUGCCAAGAAAGUAGAUGCUGUAGAGUUGAUCUGGUUCACCAACCAGUAAAGGUAGGGAAAAGGAGAAAGUGGCUAGUGUAGGGGUGAGAGCCUGGAAGAAAACAGAGUGGUUGAGGAUUUGGAGGUCAAAAGGUUAGAUGAGGAAGAGAGACAGUGUGAUAUAUUGGAAAGAGGUCUGAUUCAUAUUAGAAGUGUGGUCAUAGGCAAGUCACUCAGCCUGUGUUGGCCGCUUUUUGUGACAUUUGCAGAAAGUCCUGGAGAGACUUACACGAACUGAUGCUGAGUGAAAUGAGCAGGACCAGGAGAUCAUUAUAUACUUCAACAACAAUACUAUAUGAUGACCAGUUCUGAUGGACCUGGCUAUCCUCAGCAAUGAGAUCAACCAAAUCAUUUCCAAUGGAGCAGUAAUGAACUGAACCAGCUACGCCCAGAGAAAGAACUCUGGGAGAUGACUAAAAACCAUUACAUUGAACUCCCAAUCCCUAUAUUUAUGCCCACCUGCAUUUUUGAUUUCUUUCACAAGCUAAUUGUACAAUAUUUCAGAGUCUGAUUCUUUUUGUACAGCAAAAUAACAGUUUAGUCAUGUAUACUUAUUGUGUAUCUAAUUUAUAUUUUAAUAUAUUUAACAUCUACUGGUCAUCCUGCCAUCUGGGGGAGGGGGUGGGGAGUAAAAGGUGAAAAAUUGGAACAAGAGGUUUGGCAAUUGUUAAUGCUCUAAAGUUACCCAUGCAUAUAUAACCUGUAAAUAAAAGGC